rnacentral:rRNA from 1 species
UACAGAGGUCUCAAGCGUUGUUCGGAUUCAUUGGGCGUAAAGGGUGCGUAGGUGGCGGGGUAAGUCUGGUGUGAAAUCUCGGGGCUCAACCCCGAAACUGCACUGGAUACUGCCUUGCUCGAGUACUGGAGAGGAGAUUGGAAUUUACGGUGUAGCAGUGAAAUGCGUAGAUAUCAGGAGGAACACCGGUGGCGAAGGCGGGUCUCUGGGCCGAUACUGACGCUGAGGAGCGAAAGCGUGGGGAGCGAACAGG